GGGGGCGACCAGGUUUCGACGGGGGUGAAGAAUCGUGGGUUGCGUGCCGAGGUUGAUCGGUUGGCCUCGUUAAAAGCCGAUCAUGUUUCAACUGCCAAUCAACCAUUGGCCCUCGCCGCUUAAUUAACGGCGACGUCGUACCUCUGACCGCCUGCUAGGGGGAUACGGCGCCGACAGCGGGCCUCGAAGCGGAAGUCCGGCGGGGACUUCCGCGGAGAGUACCGACCCCGCCUAGCGGCCUUGGGCAGCGCGCCUGACGCGGCCCCGGGUGGCGAAUCCUAAUCGAUAGGCUACGCACGUAGACGCCCACGUGGACGCACUUUCGGACGCGGGUUCGAUUCCCGCCGCCUCCACCA
rnacentral:tmRNA from 1 species